rnacentral:rRNA from 1 species
GACAGAGGGUGCAAACGUUGUUCGGAAUUACUGGGCGUAAAGGGCUCGUAGGCGGCCAACUAAGUCAGACGUGAAAUCCCUCAGCUUAACUGGGGAACUGCGUCUGAUACUGGAUGGCUUGGAUUCGGGAGAGGAAUGCGGAAUUCCGGGUGUAGCGGUGGAAUGCGUAGAGAUCCGGAAGAACACCGGUGGCGAAGGCGGCCUGCUGGGCAGUAGCUGACGCUGAUGCGCGACAGCGUGGGGAGCAAACAGG